rnacentral:lncRNA from 1 species
AAUAGUAUUCUCUGGAAAUUUGGGUGACUGAUCUAUGACUUGCUAAUUGUUAGGGAGUGUUCUGCAAAGGACCAGGACUUAGAGGACUGAUUCUGUCAAGUGCCAACCUGGGCAAAUAAAUAACAUUUCUGCCCCUGCACGUUUCAACAAGUUGCAAAGAAGUAAAUGGAUUAUAACUCGACUAUAUGACCUUUAACCAGCGCACCGUUGGAAGCUGUGGUUUCGUGGCAACAAGGAGAAUCAUUUGGAUCUAAUUAUGAGAUGUAGGCUCAUCAAUAAGGUGGAUUUGUUUAAGGGGUAAAUUCUUUACAUUGUUGUAGUUAGGAUUACAUGUUGUGUUCUAUGUGAUGUGUUAAUUCUAAGCUUAAUUACAUGAUUGGUACGUAGUUAUGUAUGUGUUAUUACGUUUAUGUUACAAAAUGAUGUGCC